CUCCUUGUUAGAGACUGUCCAUCAGCUGGCUCAAUCAACUUUGUUUGUUCCUGCAUUUUCAGUUCUUUUGUGAGUGCCCAAGUCAUUUAGCUCACUUGGUGUAUCAGCUGGAGGCCUUGAGUGCAAGAUUGGCUUCACAAGAAAAAGACCCUCAUUUGAAGAGGCCCUGUUCCUUCCAACUUUACCAGCUACUCUUUGGAUGGCUGGGUGCCUGGCUGACUUCAGCUGGCCAUCUGGGGAUGACUGCAUUCAGGGACACGAAGGUUGCAAAAUGGAACAACAAAAGUUCAGCUCUCUGACCUAGGUCCAAGUCAAAGACAUGAGCCCAAGAUGAUGUCUCAUGCAAGUCUGUAUCAAGGAUCCACACUGCAAAGGCCCAAAGUUCCUGUUAACUAUAUACUGUAAUUAGAACCUCCUGAGAAAACAGCAAGACCACUGAGAUGUCAAAUAUGUCCUACAAAAAGGCCAAGAAA